rnacentral:rRNA from 1 species
ACAUGUUCGGAAUUCUGCAGAGAUACGGAAGUGCUCGAAAGAGAACCGGAACACAGGUGCUUCAUGGCUGUCGUCAGCUCGUGUCGUGAGAUGUUGGGUUAAGUCCCGCAACGAGCGCAACCCUUAUCAUUAAGUUGCUACGCAAGGGCACUCUAAUGAGACUGCCGGUGACAAACCGGAGGAAGGUGGGGAUGACGUCAAGUCCUCAUGGCCCUUAUGGGUAGGGCUUCACACGUCAUACAAUGGUCGGUACAGAGGGCUGCCAACCCGCAAGGGGGAGCCAAUCCUUUAAAACCGAUCGUAGUCCGGAUUGAGGUCUGCAACUCGACCUCAUGAAGUCGGAAUCGCUAGUAAUCGCGGAUCAGCAUGUCGCGGUGAAUACGUUCCCGGGUCUUUGUACACACCGCCCGUCACACCAUGGGAGCGGGUUUUACCAGAAGUAGCU